GGGCUGUUAGCUCAACUGGCAGAGCGUCUCGUUGACGUCGAGAAGGUUAGAGGUUCGAGUCCUCUACAGCCCACCA
rnacentral:tRNA from 1 species